rnacentral:rRNA from 1 species
GACGAACGCUGGCGGCGUGCUUAACACAUGCAAGUCGAACGGAAAGGCCCUGCUUUUGUGGGGUGCUCGAGUGGCGAACGGGUGAGUAACACGUGAGUAACCUGCCCUUGACUUUGGGAUAACUUCAGGAAACUGGGGCUAAUACCGGAUAGGAGCUCCUGCUGCAUGGUGGGGGUUGGAAAGUUUCGGCGGUUGGGGAUGGACUCGCGGCUUAUCAGCUUGUUGGUGGGGUAGUGGCUUACCAAGGCUUUGACGGGUAGCCGGCCUGAGAGGGUGCCCGGCCACAUGGGGCCUGAGUCACGCCCCAGCCCCCGCCGGGGGGCGGAAGGGGGAAAUUUUGCACAUGGGGCGGAGCCCGGAGGCAGAAACCCCGGGGGGGGGAUGACGGCCUUCGGUUUUUAACCCGUUUUCGCCUGUGACGAGGGGGGAGUGACGUUAAUGGGUAAAGAAGCACCGGCUAACUCCGUC